AGAAACUUAGGAUAAGUAAUCCAGGAGCCUUCAAAGCCCCUAAUAGAAGUUAGACUCUUCUAGUCUCUG
rnacentral:tRNA from 1 species